GAGGUGUUACCAUAGGAGAUGUUACCAUAGGAGGUGUUACCAUAGCCAUAUGAGGUGUUACCAUAGGAGGUGUUACCAUAGGAGGUGUUACCACAGGAGGUGUUACCAUAGGAGGUGUUACCAUAGGAGGUGUUACCAUAGCCAUAGGUGGUGUUACCAUAGGAGGUGUUACCAUAGGAGGUGUUACCAUAGGAGGUGUUACCAUAGCCAUAGGAGGUGUUACCAUAGGAGGUGUUACCAUAGCCAUAGGUGGUGUUACCAUAGGAGGUGUUACCAUAGCCAUAGGAGGUGUUACCAUAGGAGGUGUUACCGUAGCCAUAGGAGGUGUUACCAUAGGAGGUGUUACCAUAGGAGGUGUUACCAUAGCCAUAGGAGGUGUUACCAUAGCCAUAGGAGGUGUUGCCAUAGGUGGUGUUACCAUUGGAGGUGUUACCAUAGGAGGUGUUACCAUAGGAGGUGUUACCAUAGCCAUAGGAGGUGUUACCAUAGGUGUUGUUACCAUAGGAGGUGUUACCAUAGCCAUAGGAGGUGUUACCAUAGGAGGUGUUACCAUAGGAGGUGUUACCAUAGCCAUAGGAGGUGUUACCAUAGGAGGUGUUACCAUAGGAGGUGUUACCAUAGCCAUAGGAGGUGUUACCAUAGGAGGUGUUACCAUAGGAGGUGUUACCAUAGGAGGUGUUUCCAUUGGAGGUGUUACCAUAGGAGGUGUUACCAUAGGAGGUGUUACCAUAGGAGGUGUUACUAUAGGGUGUGUUACCAUAGGAGGUGUUACUAUAGGAUGUGUUACUAUAGGAUGUGUUACUAUAGGAGGUGUUACAAUAGGAGGUGUUACCAUAGCAGAUGUUACUAUAGGAGGUGUUACCAUUGGAGGUUUUACCAUACGCAUACGACACACAAUUAACCUCUAGACGGUCGCCUAGGAUAGGGGGCGCCACAGCGCAUUUUGAAAAAAAUUAGUGCCCAUUUUCAACGACCUACUACUCAAACUCAGAAGCUAGGAUAUGCAUAUAAUUAAUACUUGUGGAUAGAAAACACCCUAAAGUUUCUAAAACUGUUUGAAUGGUGUCUGUGAGUAUAACAGAACUCAUAUGGCAGUCAAAACCCCGAGACAGAUCGAAACAGGAAGUGGAAUUCUGAAUUGCGAACUCAACUUCAUCACGUUGCCUAUUAAUCACACCGUGAGCUAUGGUUCAUUGAGCACUUCCUAUUGCUUCCAAUAGAUGUCCCCAGUCUUUACAAAGUGAUUUGAGUCUCCUACUGUGAAAACUGACAGAAUGACACGCUGUGGAACAUGGUCACACGGAGAGGGCCAUCACCAUUAUGACGCCGGCGCCCCUGGUUACCCUCCCCUUUCGAAACGUUUUGAAACACAAUGCAAUCGUCCCCCUCGAAUCUUAUUGGAGCUCUCGUUGAAAAAGGCCCUAGAGAUUUAUGUUAUACAACGUUUGACAUGUUUGAACGAACCUAAAUAAGAAAAAAAUGCAUUUUUUUGAAAGAGUAGCCCCGCGCACGUCGGAACUUUUGGUGCAGCUUUCAGAACACGCUAACAACAACAAGCUAAUGGAACAUAAAGGAUGACAUUUUUAGAACGAAAAUACAUUUGUUGUGGACCUGGGAUUCCUGGAAGUGCCUAAGGAUGAAGAUAAUCAA
rnacentral:lncRNA from 1 species